rnacentral:rRNA from 1 species
AAACUCUGAGUAGUAAACAGAUAUGAGCUCGAAACUUAAAGAAUUUGGCGGUACUUAAGUCUAGUUAGAGGAGCCUGUGCUAUAAACGAUAAACCCCGAAUAUCUUACUUCUUUUUGAAAAUGCAGUACGUAUACCGUCAUUAUUGAUAAUUUUAUAAAAAGUUUAUCAUGAUAAAUUAAAAUUUAGUAUAUUAGAUCAAGGUGCGGCUAAUAAUGAAGUUGACAUGGGCUACAAUGAUAUGAGAUUAUACGGAUGGAUCUAGUCAGAUAGUUUCAAUAAGGUGGAUUUAAUAGU